AUCCAGCUGACCAGUCCCAAAUAGGACGAAAAGCGCAUCCUGGAU
rnacentral:hammerhead_ribozyme from 1 species